CCCACUUGCAGAGUCCAGUGUCAUCCUUAGAACCACUUCCUCCUUCUCGUCAGCAGCUUCCUGUGCGAUUUCCUGCGUUGUUGUGUUGUUUUCAGAAGUUGUUGACAUCACCCUGCCUGUCUGGGCUUCUCUGCUGUGAUGACAUCCUCACCGUGAGACCCCCCUGCCUUUGAGAGCUGUGGCUUUCCAAAAUCAGGAUUCUGUACAGCACACCUGAGCCACAGGUACACAUCAGCAGCAGCAAAUGAUGAACACAGAGCUCUCCAAGUCCCAGUUUUAACACGGGGAACUGACGUCUGCAAUCCUCAGUUUGUUAAUUACCCUUUGUGGCUUCAGUAAAACGAAGACAGUUCUACUUGGGAUCUUACCAAGCCUCACGACUCAGUUGGUUAGCAUAAAUGAAAGGUUAGGAUUUGUAUGAUGCUUUCUGAACAGCAGAUGCAUUUGGAUUUCCCAGCCACCCAAGUAUGUGAUGUCCAGUGGCUUGUACCUUCAGCAUUACUUUCAGCCAAAAGUAAUCAGCAUAUCACAUGCAAGGCAGUAUCUAGCAUCUUUGCACUUCUUGUUUGAUACUUGGCAAGGUCGUACGAGCCUUUCAUGGCUUUGACUCCUGCCCUCAUGCAGCUGGGAUGGCCACUGGUGACCUCAGUGCUUGGACCAAGCUUGAGUCGCAGUUCCAGGAAUGCUGCCCAACCCAGCUCCCCUGUGACAGAGCUGGGGUUGCUCCAGCUCCUCAGUGGAGCUACGCUGACUUGCAAUGACCAGUGCCUGGCCAUCUUCCUGCCUUUGACUUCAGUUUGUUCACAGACCACAGUGGAACCGAAGGGGGACAUCAGUCUCAAGAUACGCUUGGCAAGCUGACAUGGCCAGAGCUACUGAAAAAACACCAGCCAUGACAGCCAUUUCCCCACGAUCCCCACACAUUUACAAUCUUCCAGUUCUACAGAGCAGGUAAAAUGAUUCCCUGCUGUGUUUGUGCUGCAGCUAUUCUGCUCCCAUCCCGAAAUGCAGAUGGCUUUUCUCAGAACUUGAAAGCGUUGUUCUCUAAUAGACUGAAUUGAACUUUGUAUUUUGUGAAGCGGUGGGGACUAAGUACAGUGUGUCUGUAAUGACACAUCUGUCUUCUAAGAAGCUGUACAGAGCGCAGCCAGAAGACCUUUGGGCUCAUCUGAAAACACUGCAUUCAAAUGAAAACUGAACUAAAAAUAGUAAUUACUGGGAAACAAAGGGGACAACCUGACCCCACAGUUGGCAGACUCAGAACAACAGCAGCAAUAUGCAAUUCUCUGCAUAUUUCUAAACCAUACUUGAGAACAGCUUCCAGGAGCUUCCAAGUAGAGAUGCGUGCACAGCUCUGACAGGAGAGAGGGCCCAAACACAAAGCAGCUAGUCUGACAUAUUGCAGCUUAUCUAGCUGCAAAAGCUUUCAAGUAGACCAGACUUGAAUCUUUUCCCUUACAGCAGAAGACUUGAACAAAUAGCAAAGCUGUAAAUAACCACGAUGAGGUAAGUCUGAGUCAGUUUAAGAGUGAUGCCCUGUGCUGUGGUAGUACAUAGAAAUCUCAGUGCAGUUCAGGCUCUUGUAUGACAAGGCAGCACGCAGCUCCCUGGAAUCAAGGUGGAAAAAAUAGGAAUGUUAUGAGAAAUGAUAAGGAUUUGAGCUUGCUAGGAUUAAAGGACAGGUCAGCAUCAAAGCCACAAGCAAAUGCAUAUCUUCUGAGCCCAAUAGCAACACUUUUAUUCACUGGCCAGGCUAAAGAAACUACUAUUGGUACCAUAAAUUAGCGCUCAUAUCAGUGAGAUCUCUUCAAGCCAAUCCCCAGACCAGAUAACCUGUAUAUUUUUUUUUCACACAGUAUAUAUCAAGUAACCCAAGGAACCCCAUGUAUAAAAGGAACAAAUAUAAUUCUUCUGUAUUCUUCCUCUUCCCUUCCUUUAUGUUGCCUUGCAAGUCACAGCAGAAAGAAAGAUGGCUUCAGGACAGAGAGAUUCCUACACACCAGAGAUUAUUCCACAGACCAGAGGCACCUCUCCAUUUAAUGCAGCCCAAGAGAAGGCAACACGUCCAGUAUUCACCGAGACAGCCCAUCCAUAAGAACAUAAAACCAUGCUGGCCUCCUAUGCCUUCAUGGUGGAUGCCAGCCUCUUGAAGGAAGCCAAGCCUAGCACAGACAGAGCAGAAGAAAGAGGCCAGGGCCUCUUCAGGCCGAUGAGAUCUGCCAAAGCCUGUGAUCAUCUCAAAACCUGAGACUGUACCAAGAGCUGAGACUCUGAAAGUAAAUUCCGUGAAGGGACCUGGAACUCCAGUGUGCAGAGCCAGGACUGGCAGCAGCGGGGAGAGCUCGGCUGUACACCACUCAUCAGCUCUAAGCCGAGGGAAUCACCACGAGGGAAAGAGGAGAGGUCAGCAUUUGUGCCCCGGGACACUGCAUUGGUUGCCUCUGAGAAACUGAUAGCUUGUAUACGGGCAGGAACCAAACCAAUAUUAUUCCAAACUGAUCCCUCUGCAAAGAUCCCAGAGAAGGUUGGGAAGAAUCCAGCAAAGCAGAAAACAGAAGAAACAGAAAACCACACAGUGCUGAGUCCCUCCUGGUCAAAGAUCAGGCAGCUCCCUAUUUCCACAGCACAGAUCAGAGGGAACUGCUCUCAGACACAUCCUGAGCUUCAGACAGCAGCCUGGUGACCCUAACACCUCCGUGCUCCUCUGAGGCAUCGCACCAGCAGCAGUAGCUCCUGCAUGCCUUCCUCUGGUCAUCUCGCAAGUCAAAGAAUCAUAGAACAGGGCUGCAAGACAGACACUGCAAAGAUAAAGAUAAAGGAUGAAACAGGGAAGAGAGAAGAAAACAGGAGAAAGAAGAGCACAGCAAAGGAAAUAAAUCAUCUGAUAUCCUGCCAGCAAACUGCCAUCGGCGCUUUGAGACUGGAGGCGUUUCUCCUGCCCCAAAAGAGCAUUAAAAAAAAAAUCUAGCUGAUAACUUGGACAGACUUCAGGUAUGUCUGUGUGCAUACCAGCAGUUAAACUGAUUUCUUCCACUAUCUUAUCUGUCCAUUUCUGGUUUUGAAGGGGAGGAAGUUUGGCAGGCAAGCUACUCUUGGAAUGCACUCGGUAAACCACGGACAGGAGAACCGAGGAGCAUAAAUAGAAAUAACCAUAGGUGUAGCAGCUGGGAGCCUGACUUCUGGCUUCUAUUCCUAGCUCUACCCGUGACUUGGAACCUUGGUAAGCCACUUCACCUCUCCCUGCUCCAGCGUUCCCACAGGCACAGCUCACCCAUUUCACAGGUACCCCAGGCAGAGGAACCCUGCUGCUCCCAGCCAGGUCGGUGUCUCUGGAGGAAGAGCCUCAUCCCUCUGCCUCUGUUAGCCCAAGGCCAUUCGUCCCCGCAGGUCAGGGCACACCAAGGGGAGCUGGCAACUUGAACCAAGCACAUCUUGUGAAGCUUUUUGGGAUCCGUCAAGGAAAGGAAAACCACUUUAACAAAAUGUUGCUAAUUAUAGCUCGACAGCAUAUAACGCAUUCCUGCUCUGGACAGAGCUCUGCUAUCAGCCAACUUCAUUAUACACUAUCUUUGCCCAACUCCCUCCUUAUUAAUUGUGGCCAAAGCACUGAAUAAAGCCAAGCUGCUGCUCGCUCUCCAUUUCUCCUUCUUCAAGACCAGUUCCUUGACAGCAACAGCAAGACUGCGAGCCUGCUAUGCUGGGCUGCCUGCACUCCCUGCCCCCAGCCAGCAGUAAAUAUGUCUCUGCACUUUUAUUCCUGCCUGCCCGGAGCAGAUUCCUGGGAUGCUAAUGCCAGAUACAACCAUGGCCUUGGACAGGCAGUCCCACGGCUGAAGCAGGAUGGAGCUGUGCUGUCACCCCAGCAGCCUGCAGAUGCCCUGCCACAGGCCAUUGGAAAGCAGAGCCCUUUUUUUUUUGCAAGUGCUUUGCAGCAUCCUCCUUCAACUGGAGCAUGCAAGAGCCCAGGCUUCUCCAAACCCUCUGCAUCCACACCCCAAGGCUCCAGCCGUGGUGCAGCACAGGGAGGUUUGAACACUUGGCAUUGGCAGCAAGCAGGAAAACUGCAGAAAAACCCAGUGCCCACAUACACUGUGAGCCCUCUGGGCAUCAGGGGCAACAGCAGCAUGAAGGCAUCCCGGAUCAAUCUGAUUUCUAUAUAAAAACAGGAAACUGCCCCUCCCUCCACAAAAAGGGAGGAAGAGCUUCCUGGCCUGUAUCUGUGUCACUGAGAAACGAGGCAGGAACAAACAGCUCGCUCCUUCUUAUCCCAGAGCGCAUCUGAAAGAGUAGACACUUCAGUGAAUUCCUUCUAGGAGUACUCCUAAAUCUGUCCCUAGCACAGUUCCUGGAAAACAGCGAGAUCUCUGCUCCCACAGGGCUCAGACAGAUGGCUUCAGACCUCUCCUAACACCCACUUCCCGCAGGAGAAGCAGAUGGGAGCUGUGCUGCAAGCCACAGGGCAGGGUUACCUCCUGAUGUGCCCAGGGAUGCAGGCAUUUCACACUGGGCCACUGCUCCAAAUCCAGAUUGAGCACAUAGCAGCUGGCCCUCAACACCGACAGUUGUUCGGUGCCCCAUAGGAGAUGAGUACUUGCACAGGAGCCCACCAGCUCCCUCCCCUCCAGCAGACACAGCAGAGAAAGCUGGGAUUGAUUCAAGAUCUAGAAAAAACAAACACCCUUUGCCUUCAGAAGCAGUACUUCCCACGCUGCACUGAGCGUUUUGGGGCAGGUUCUUACGUGUCACUUUUACUUAUGUUUUGAGAAUUAUCUGUAGGGUACAGGGAUGUCAGGUUGGGUGUUAGGAAACAUUUCUGCUCAGAAAGAGCAGUGAUGCAGUGACACAGGCUGGCUGGGAUGGGGGGUCACUGUCCCUGGAGGUGUUUGAGAGCCAUGGAGAUGUGGCACUGAGGGACGUGGUCAGUGGGCACAGUGGAGUGAUACAAGUUGGGGACCUUGGAGGUCUUUCCCAACCAUAAUGGUUCUGCAUCAAGUAGUGCCUACCCCUGUCCCACGUCCAUUACAGAGAGAGGGGGAAGAACAAAAACAUCCACAUCUCAGGCACUGUCAUCAUUCCUCUGGACAGAAGCAACUGCCACUGCCACGUAACCUGGGAGCCAGCACCCGAGCCCAUGUUCCCUCAACACUGCGCUCCCCUUCACCAUCAUCUCACACUGCUUUUGUUAUUGCAGAAGAUUACAACAAGAGGCAAAAAAAGGUGAAACAUUCAUUAGAAUACCCAAAACUGAGAAACCCUUUAGAAUAAUUCAAGACAAUUGGGAUUGGAAACGUGGACCAGAAAUAGGCAGGAGCUGCUCCAGUCUCCACGCUGCUGUUUGCCAACCUGUGCAACAGCCACAGCUUUGCCUGGUGGGCUGGAGGAACGGGCACUGCAGCCACAUGAGCCAGGCCACAAUGCCUUACUGAAGCAAAUCCUGACUUGUGUUUGAUCUGGAAUGGCAUGCCAUGCAUAUCAGGCCACCACCAAAGCUUUCAGCAUCACCUGCUCAGGUAGAAAGAGGGAUUGUACAGUAUUAAGCCAAAAAAAACACAUACAGGAAUUGUUGUUCUGCACAUAAAAGCUGUCAGCUUCGCAUACACGAGAAACCUCAAGGUCAUGAGUGCUGCUUCCUGACAGUGAUUCCUGGACCUUGCUACAUCAAAACAGAAAUAUCAGAAUGAUACUUUUAGAGUCACCAACCACCGCUUGCUUUGCCUGCUGCUGUGUAGCUAGCAGGUCAUGCACACUUGUUUAGAUGCAUCUGCAUAGGAAUCCAAACUGCAAAUAAAGAGCUGCAACAGAAGUUGUGGUUUUGUUAUUACUGCUCAAGACUGAGACUACACAUGAAAAACACUUUCCAGUUCAGACGGAGGAAAUGGAAGGCACAAAAGGCUCCGUUUGCUACUCAGCAGGGUGGAUGUCUAAUGAACUGCUUCUACCAAAUAACUGAGAGAUGAGGGAGCAGCGUGGAGAGGUGCUUUUCACACAAGUAGCAUGAAAAAUCAGAAUACCAUUCUUGGGAUAGGUUACACAACCAGGAAUAUUUUUACCUUCCCUCCUCUUGCGCUAAAUAUUUUGUUUGCAUUGUAAACACUUGACCUCCACUUCUCAGUCCUUCCCCUCAGAUGCCCCCAUCUGCACCUUCCCCCUCCAAACAAAGAGCUGAGGCUUCCCAGCAGCUCUCCAACGUACCUGCAGGAGCUGCUCCAUCCGCCUGCAGCC